CGCCAAGUCCGGGACUCCGGUGUUCACCGGGGUCUGGUGCAAAAGGGA
rnacentral:sRNA from 22 species